rnacentral:rRNA from 1 species
UACGUAGGAGGCUAGCGUUGUCCGGAAUCAUUGGGCGUAAAGCGCGUGUAGGCGGCCAGAUAGGUCUGCUGUGAAAACUCGAGGCUCAACCUCGAGCUGUCGGCGGAAACCAUCUGGCUAGAGUCCGGAAGAGGAGAGUGGAAUUCCUGGUGUAGCGGUGAAAUGCGCAGAUAUCAGGAAGAACACCUAUGGCGAAGGCAGCUCUCUGGGACGGUACUGACGCUGAGACGCGAAAGCGUGGGGAGCGAACAGG